GGGACACGUGGUAUCCUGUCUGAAUAUGGGGGGACCAUCCUCCAAGGCUAAAUACUCCUGACUGACCGAUAGUGAACCAGUACCGUGAGGGAAAGGCGAAAAGAACCCCGGCGAGGGGAGUGAAAAAGAACCUGAAACCGUGUACGUACAAGCAGUGGGAGCACGCUUAGGCGUGUGACUGCGUACCUUUUGUAUAAUGGGUCAGCGACUUAUAUUCUGUAGCAAGGUUAACCGAAUAGGGGAGCCGAAGGGAAACCGAGUCUUAACUGGGCGUUAAGUUGCAGGGUAUAGACCCGAAACCCGGUGAUCUAGCCAUGGGCAGGUUGAAGGUUGGGUAACACUAACUGGAGGACCGAACCGACUAAUGUUGAAAAAUUAGCGGAUGACUUGUGGCUGGGGGUGAAAGGCCAAUCAAACCGGGAGAUAGCUGGUUCUCCCCGAAAGCUAUUUAGGUAGCGCCUCGUGAAUUCAUCUCCGGGGGUAGAGCACUGUUUCGGCAAGGGGGUCAUCCCGACUUACCAACCCGAUGCAAACUGCGAAUACCGGAGAAUGUUAUCACGGGAGACACACGGCGGGUGCUAACGUCCGUCGUGAAGAGGGAAACAACCCAGACCGCCAGCUAAGGUCCCAAAGUCAUGGUUAAGUGGGAAACGAUGUGGGAAGGCCCAGACAGCCAGGAUGUUGGCUUAGAAGCAGCCAUCAUUUAAAGAAAGCGUAAUAGCUCACUGGUCGAGUCGGCCUGCGCGGAAGAUGUAACGGGGCUAAACCAUGCACCGAAGCUGCGGCAGCGACACUAUGUGUUGUUGGGUAGGGGAGCGUUCUGUAAGCCUGUGAAGGUGUGCUGUGAGGCAUGCUGGAGGUAUCAGAA
rnacentral:rRNA from 1 species